GACGAACGCUGGCGGCGUGCUUAACACAUGCAAGUCGAACGGAAAGGCCCUGCUUUUGUGGGGUGCUCGAGUGGCGAACGGGUGAGUAACACGUGAGUAACCUGCCCUUGACUUUGGGAUAACUUCAGGAAACUGGGGCUAAUACCGGAUAGGAGCUCCUGCUGCAUGGUGGGGGUUGGAAAGUUUCGGCGGUUGGGGAUGGACUCGCGGCUUAUCAGCUUGUUGGUGGGGUAGUGGUUUACCACGGCUUUGACGGGUAGCCGGCCUGAGAGGGUGACCGGCCACAAUGGGACUGAGAUACGGCCCAGACUCCUACGGGAGGCAGCAGUGGGGAAUAUUGCACAAUGGGCGGAAGCCUGAUGCAGCAACGCCGCGGGCGGGAUGACGGCCUUCGGGUUGUAAACCGCUUUCGCCUGUGACGAAGCGUGAGUGACGGUAAUGGGUAAAGAAGCACCGGCUAACUACGUG
rnacentral:rRNA from 1 species